GGCAGUGUACCAUAGAACACAUGUGCAGAUGAGAGGAGGAGUCUGUUCUUUCCUUCCACCAUGUGGGUCUUGGGGAUCAAGCUCAGGUCAUCUGGUUUGGCAGUAAGCACCUUUACUUGUUGAGUCAUCAUAUGAGCUCCAAGAAACCAUUUUUAACCUUUAAAGACCAGAUUGCCCAGGAAUUCCAGGACAAACCAUACAAAGCUCAUACAGUAGACACAUGCCUCAGACUCCCAGCCUCAGAAGCACCUUUAAAGUCUGACUUCCUUCUCUCUGAAAUGGAGGUAUAUUAGAGGCUGAAUAACUGAAAUUUGAAGACUGCAUGAGAUAAGACACUGAUCACAGAAGAUUAUAUGAAGUUACUUUAUUAACUAUUCAUAUUCAACUUUGAAGACCACUAUCCCUCUGGACAAGCACAGACCUCUCUAUUUGAGUGUCACAUACUAAAUCAGGUCACUUUUGGAUUCUGUCGUUAUUCAUACGUGCUUAAUGAGCUUGCCUUCACUGCAGUACAGCCAGUAGUUCUUCCAGACUUUCCUUUUCCAAGAGUCCCAAGACCACUUAUACUCCAGCCUUCUGGUUUCCCAUCUGAGAUUCCAGGACCUCCAAAGAAGCUUUCCUCAUUUGAAUCAGUUGUUAUUUGGCUCCACCAGACUCACUAGCAGUGGUGUGUAUCUGCUAAGAAAUUCAACAAGUAUUUUCAUCAAGUUCAACAUUAUGCCCCAAGAAAGCAGACAAAAUGUUCAAAUGCAAUCAUAUGGGCGAGACAGAAGGUAGACAUGCAUGUGCAUGUAGAAAUUAUGUUAACAGCAAUGUGUCCACGUUAAAAGGACAGACAAGUUAAGCUGGCCAUGAACCUGGAAUAAGAAGGUGCUUCCUACAGACCCUCUAUGCACCUCUUCAUCUUGUUAUCUAGAGAUGUGUCAGAUUUCUGAGAUGCAAGUGUACAAAACUAGCAGAGUGCUAUACAGUAAUGUUCCAUUAAAUAUUUAUAGAACAAUUAACUCUUCAAGUUAACAAACUGUAUUUUAUUGUUGCUGCCUAACACAUGAAAUGGAUUUAAGUCCAUACAAGCAUCUGAGCUGUGCUGUAGAAUACUCAGCAUAUUGCUUCCAUAACCUGUCUCCUUCACUCAGUUUAGCAGGCUGUAAUAAAAGUGUGACAGAAGCACUUCUUCAACUUUGUAAAUCUGUAGAUAAAUCUCAACGAAAAUGGAGGCAAAUUCUCAUAGUAAGUGUGGAUUGGAAAUCACCAUUUGUUUGGGGGUUUUGUAAAAUAAGGAAGUAUCUCAGAACAUGGAAAUUAAAGUAAUACUGGACAGACUGACCAUUCACUGUAUAUGCAUAUUUUCAUUGAGUACUUAGUAUUUGCAUGUUUUUCCUCCUCAUCUAAUUUAUAAUCUUUUGAAUGGUAGGACAGGACCUUGUGUUUUUAGGACUAUGUAGAAAAGGUCACCUGGAUAAGAUAGGGUAAAGGCAAUGGGAAGUUUAGUCAUCUUUUCAAGGACUAGAACAUAACCUGCAUAGUCUCUGGGGUAGAAAUAAAGCAAAGCAAGCAAAUGCUAUAAAAACCUUAUUCUGUGUCCUUGCUCUCUGUACAAUUGUCUUUCUAAGUGGCCCACAGUUCUGUUGCCUACUGUCUCUGUCAACAUUUAUGAUAUAAACCUUCAGUUGCAAAAACAGAACUAUAAAAUGUUAACCCUUUCAUAGCUUUUUUUUCUUUCAUUAUGGAUAAAAUACUUAAGAAACCAAAUUGCAACUGUGAAAUUCAAGCCUCAAUCUGAAAGGUAAACAUGAUUUUUAAGGAAUAGUCAAUAAGACCCUCUAUGUACAGCUAAAAAAUAACCAACUUAAAGUGUUUUGAGUGAUGUGGUCCUUGGCUGUUUAGUUUCAGAGUGUUAAAGGAAGAACCAACUAAGUCCUCUGGCUAUGAUGGAGGCUUCAGACUUGGCUCACCAAGAAUCAGCCCUCCACUCUGCUCUUUAAGCUUUUGACCAUGUACAAGUCACUUAUUGUCCUGUGACCCAGAUUACUUAUACAUAAAAUGAAUAGUAGCAACCUCAGGAACAGAACAAGGUCGCCAAGUGAAGUGUAAGACUAAGUGUGCAAGAAAUAUUACCAAUAAUCUCUACCCAGAAGACAGGGUGAUCCCACAAAUAAUUGUACCCAUGUCCUUGGGAAGUCAGUUUUCUGUUGAAAUUGUGUUGACAUUCUGAGUGUACAACGUUCCUCUAAUAGUUGGGAAAAUUUUGCUUGUCCAGGAGAAGUUUGAGAUAAUACACUUUCAACAAAUUCUUCUGUUUCCUUUCCCUCCCUGUGCCCAUCAAACCUGUUACACAGCUGGAUGAUGGGCAAACACAAGGCAGGGGAACUUCAGGGUUGCUGGGUAACACCUCACUUAAUAGCUGCCUUCAGCACAUGCACAUCUGUCAGGAAAGUAAAAUAUUGUUCAUUGACUUUUUACUCCACAGCCAAUUUCAUCAGUUGUAAAUAUUGGAAUUGCUUUGCAAAUAUCCUGGCAGAUUGUGCUGACUUGUUAAUAUAAAUGAUGAUAUAAUUAGAUUUAUA